GACGAACGCUGGCGGCGUGCUUAACACAUGCAAGUCGAACGGAAAGGCCCUGCUUUUGUGGGGUGCUCGAGUGGCGAACGGGUGAGUAACACGUGAGUAACCUGCCCUUGACUUUGGGAUAACUUCAGGAAACUGGGGCUAAUACCGGAUAGGAGCUCCUGCUGCAUGGUGGGGGUUGGAAAGUUUCGGCGGUUGGGGAUGGACUCGCGGCUUAUCAGCUUGUUGGUGGGGUAGUGGCUUACCAAGGCUUUGACGGGUAGCCGGCCUGAGAGGGUGACCGGCCACAUUGGGACUGAGAUACGGCCCAGACUCCUACGGGAGGGAGCAGUGGGGGAUAGUGCACAAUGGGCGGAAGCCUGAUGCAGCAACGCCGCGUGCGGGAUGACGGCCUUCGGGUUGUAAACCGCUUUCGCCUGGGACGAAGCGUGAGUGACGGUAAUGGGUAAAGAAGCACCGGCUAACUACGUG
rnacentral:rRNA from 1 species